CAGGAUGAACGCUGGCGGCGUGCUUAACACAUGCAAGUCGAACGAAGCACCUCUAAUCGAAGAUUGAGAAGCUUGCUUUGAUGAUUCACCUUGAGGUGACUGAGUGGCGGACGGGUGAGUAACGCGUGGGUAACCUACCCUAUACAGGGGGAUAACAGUUGGAAACGACUGCUAAUACCGCAUAAGCGCACGGGACCGCAUGGUCUAGUGUGAAAAACUCCGGUGGUAUAGGAUGGACCCGCGUCUGAUUAGCUAGUUGGUGAGGUAACGGCUCACCAAGGCGACGAUCAGUAGCCGACCUGAGAGGGUGACCGGCCACAUUGGGACUGAGACACGGCCCAAACUCCUACGGGAGGCAGCAGUGGGGAAUAUUGCACAAUGGGCGAAAGCCUGAUGCAGCGACGCCGCGUGAACGAAGAAGUAUUUCGGUAUGUAAAGUUCUAUCAGCAGGGAAGAAAAAUGACGGUACCUGACUAAGAAGCUCCGGCUAAAUACGUGCCAGCAGCCGC
rnacentral:rRNA from 1 species